GUUUCUUUUCAGUUUGAAUUAUGGCUGCUAGGUACCAUUAUUGGUUUUUGGUAGUGUGAAGACAGUUUAAGCUGGAAAAUACUUCUUUAAAUGCCAUGAAUUUCUGUGUCGUGUUGGCCAUUGCUAUCUGGGGAAUUGGGCAUUUGAGUAGCUUAACCACUUUCACCUGCAACCUUGGUGUGUGCUGUGCUUAAACGGGUACCAGGAUACCGGACUAACAAAUAAUCCUGAAAUUGAGUUGAAUAGGCAGACUCAUGCUGAUCAUUUGGAGAGACUGAGGGAAG